rnacentral:lncRNA from 1 species
CAUCAAUAAAGUUCUGUGUGGUGUUGGGUAGCCAUUUUAUUAUUUAUUUCUUCUCAUUCCAGAAUUACAUCCCAUCUUUGUAAACUGGAGAAGCCAGUGGCACUGCCAGUGCCCUUCAACGGUGGUGUCUGGAUCCAGUGCGGAUUGAAUCAUUGUUCUGACAAGUUCUUCCAACAAGUGAAAAUUACAAGGAACUUUAACUCCUGUGGAGACCGCCAUCUUCUCCUACAGUCGACGCAUCUGCCUCCUGUCUGCUUUUCAUUAAAAGCUCUAAAAGGUUUGCCAUCUCUGGUCUAGAUCUUCUU